GAGUGGACCCCACAGAUCACAAGCAAGAUCCGAGGCACCCUGCAGCAAGGUCUUGGGGUGGCCUGACUGCAGCCCUGCAGAAGGGGAGAACACCCCUAAGGGAGGAGGAGUUGCCAUGCGGGUGAGGCUGUCUCUAGGGACUCCCUGUCUGCUUGUAUGACACCAUCUCACUCAUUCGAGGUGACUUUGGGACAGCUCCCGGAGCAGCACUGAUGGGCGCCUGGAAACAUGACAGUCAGCAAAGAGGGAAAGGGCCAGGGGUCAAGACUCUCUCCCUGACGUUGCAGCCAGUGAGAGGGAAGAGGAAGCAGAGGCAGAGAGAGCUGAAAUUCAGUCAGCCUAACUCUUGGCAAGGAGCUGGGUUGUUUUGCAGUCUAAGUGAGAGGUCACUUUGGGAUAUUUCUUCUACAAUCGGAGGGAAGGAUAUAGAAGAAUCAAGAGGCAAGACUCUUCCGUGGUUCCAGAAGCUUCUAGCCUAUCCCCCCUGUUCUUCUCUUUCUGUCAGCAGCUACUGGGAGAAAGACAGAAACCUAUGGGACCUAGAGGCACCAAAGGGAGGGAGAAAAAGCUGAGUUGUCUGGCCUUUGGAGACCCAGACUAGAAUCUAGCUUUGGCCUCUCUUUGACCUCAACCUUGACCUUAAGAUAACAGGUGCAUUUCAACACAGCCUCCCCUCUUGCCAGCCGGACAUUCCAGCUCACUUCUACACACACACACACACACACACACACACACACAGAUAGCCACAUACAUAUACUGUUCUGCCUAUAGCCAAAUUCAGUCCAAGAAGGAACUGGACUCUUAAUAAACAGUGCUUAGACUAGAACUGUGUGGAAUGGAUGCAUAUUGAAGACCCGGCACAGCAAGGCACAGCCUGGCUCCAUGUUGCACACACUUCUACUCAGAUUUCUCAGAGUCUGGGAUUCUGGGGACUGACCUCACCAUUUGGGGGCAGGACUGGAUCUUGUGUGUGAGUGUAUGUGUUCCCAAAUAUGUCUUUAAUUCUCCUGGAUUUCUUUGGACUAGGGGCGGUGGAGAGUAGACAGCACAGAGAAAGCAGAGGAAGGAAAAGGGAUCAAGAGCUCUAAAGUCUAAUCAGAGUAUGCACGUGAGUGAGAAACUGUACGUGUGAGUGUGUAAGUGUGAAUGGUGUGAGUGUGCAUAGAUGUGUGUGUUUGAUCCAGGAUCUGUGCUCGUUGCCCAGUGUCUUGUUCUGGGUAACAGGGCAAUGCCUGUACUAAUCCUGUGUGGCCUAAAUCUUAGGCUGACUGCUUGACUGACUGACUGAGGGUGGGUCCUUGCUGGAAACCAGGUCAGACUUCUGUAGGUGCCUUCCCUUCCCCCUCCUUUCUCACCAAGCAAACCAUUGCCCAGGGAAGUAACUUCCCUGCCUAGGUGAUGCAAACCUGGGUCAGAAACCCUGGGGAUGCCCCAGAAUCAGGGAAGUAGCCAUGUACCUGGGAGAGACUCAUGCCUUGCCCUCCUAGAAUCUUUUCCUAUUCUCCAAAGGGCCAGCUGGCUUUUCUUCACCCACCCAAAGCACUGAUAUCUUGGGGAGAAUUUCAAGAACAUGGCACAGGAGGCUCUAAGUCUCAGCUGAUUUGUUCUUUGGGGGAACUGGAGAAAGAGAGGGUGAAGCAUGGUCCAGGGCUGGGUUCCAUGGAUGUGUUUUGCCUCAGAUUCUAUCCUUACCUCACUACUCCUUUCUCCAAGGAGAGGAAAUAAUAAGCAUGUAUUAAGCAUCAACUGUAUGCCAGGCACUGUGCUAAGUGCUUUAUAUAUAUUAUCUCAUUUUAUAUACAUAUUGACACAGUAUUGCAGGUCUCAUUCUUAUCUUAGAGAUAGGGAACCUGAAGCUUUGAGACAUUUGUUAGCUUGACCUGGGAAGAGGCAGAUGCUAGCUGAUUUGUCUUAAAGCUGUAUUUAGAGUGAAACACAGCAGAUUGAGAAGAUGUCACUUCAGGGGGCACCUGUUUGGCUCAGUCAUUUGAGCAUCUGACUCUUGAU